rnacentral:lncRNA from 1 species
AACUAUUGAUGCCUUUGCCCUAUUAAAUGACCAAAUCCCCCUGGCUUCAUUAAUUCAACCAAUUUCAUCGAGUGUAAACCUAGCUCAUCUCUCCUAGAGACCACUGCACCACUCCACCGUUCCUCCGCCGCCCGAAAAUCAUCUUAUGGAGGUAGACAAUCUCCAAAUCCCCUCAAGAUUCAUCCAUAGAAUCUCCAUCAUCCCCUCAUUCAUAUCCCACCAUUGUUUUCGCUAAAAGACCACUCAUUUUCUUUGAAUUAGGGAACAAAGAAUAAAAAUCCCAACCUUUUGUUCUUUGUUCACUUUUCUUAACCCAGCCCUCCAUUCAUAGUGAAACCCAUUGGAAUCCCACACUUUCAAUGCGAAGAGUCAAUUCACUCAUAAAGUUAACCCACCUUUUUAAAUUUCGUCAGAUUUUUGCCAUUUAAACUUUGAAUGUCCAAAAUUCUUCAAGCCUCUGCCUCGUAUCCUCUUCGGUAUGUGUUGAGAAUUGUUGCAUGAAGUAUUAGCUAUGGAAAAGAGUCCAGGUAGUGUUCAUGUUGCGAUUCUUACAAUUUGACCGAGAUUCUCGCUCGCCAUAGUUGGAGUUGAUUCGUCACAUGUUUCUCAAGAAUAUCGAAGAUUUUUCGAUUCAAUUGGUACUUCUUCCCCUAUUUUCAUAACCCUUCAUAUGUUAACAAAUUUUGUCUAAAAUUUGUUUUUGUUUGAUUCAUGAUUGAUUCAUUAGUGGUAAUAUCUCAAUAAUUAGAUUUAUUGCAUGCCUCGUUAAUCUUUUUUUGUCGGUUAGUCAGAAUUUUGUUUACUUAAAUCUUCACGGAGCUGUUUUGUUUCGGGUUCGGUUGCAAAAGCCCAAGUAAAAUAUUAGGUUUGUGGUUUAAGUGGUCCAGGUUUAGUACCACCUGGGUUAAACCUUAAAACAAUAAAAUAAAAGGGGUAAAUACAGGGGUAUUGGGGGUUUGAAUGUGAUAGGAUUUGAGGGAAGCUUAUAGAAAGCUUCUAGAAAAAAAAAAGCUAACAAGGAUCAUUUAGAGAAAAAGAUGGGGGAAAUCCUAGGGCAGGGGUGUAAGUUGAUAAAAAAUCAUAUGUUUAAGAGGUACUUUUAAAUUACAAAAAUUAGAAUUGGUUGCCCUAAGUCCAGUCUAUAAAAUGAUCCUUUUGCCAAUGAUUAGGGCACAAAAAAAAAAGAGUAGAAAAAGAGCAAACGGCUUAAAACAAACUUUCCUAAAUUGUUCCUAAGAAAUUUUGAGCUCUCUUUUUGUUUUGGGGGCUCUUCUUUGCUGUGUCUCAGAAGCUGGAAAAAAAUUUUGGGUUUAUUCAUUGCUGGUAUUGCUGAGCUUAGCUAGGAACUGCAUAUUUUCUUGCUUCUUUGGGAUAUUUUUCCCUUUCUCUAUAUAUUUUUCUGAACUUUUAUAAGCUUUGUUUUGUCUUGAAUGAAAUGUGGUUUUCCUUAAACAUUUGAGCCUAAUAUAAUAAAUAUGAUAUCCUAGUUAUGCAAAUUACUUGGAUUUUCUUCUUUGAAAUCUAUUUCAUGUGUGUGUGAUACUUGAGUUAAAGGUCAUGUUUGUUGUCGUUCACAUAAUUAGUUCAUUAUUGGAAGUUUUGUUUUGUUUGGAUUCUGAUUCUAUAUCAUAAAUGAUACUAAAAAUUUAUAAAUUUGUUCCCAUUUUCCCUUUCAAUGCUUUAAAACUGUUUUUAGUUUUGUGUUCUGCUCAUUUGUCUUGUUAAUUUGUGUAAUGGUUUGAGUAUUAAGAAAAUGAAAAUGGUUUAUUGAUAUCCAGUAGUUGAUGUAACAUGCAAUUUAAAUGUCAUGCUAUAUUUUUCCUUUUCUUUUCUUUCUCUCGGAAAUAUUGCUAUUCUUGAGUAGCAUGAGGGCAUCAAUCAUUAAAUGUCUUGUUGGUUUUAAGGUUGAGGUUUUUGUUUAGAUCACACAUACUUGGCAGUAGUCUAACAAGAGCUCUACCGGUCUGUAUGUGAAAUAUGUAGAUUUGUUUUAAUUUGAAGAGUUGAAAGUUGUUUUCUAUUGAUUAAUUGGCUGUAAUUUGCAGAUCCGAUCACUAGUUGGUUAGAUUAGUGAUCUCUAAAGCUAAAGAAGGGAUUUAAAGUCGCUGGGAAAGGAAAAAAGUACGACCCAGUACAAUACCACUCAGUGGUGUCUGGGGAGGGUAGUGUGUACGCNNN